GAUGAACGCUGGCGGCGUGCUUAACACAUGCAAGUCGAACGACGACGCCUAGCUUGCUGGGUGGGUUAGUGGCCAACGGGUGCGUAACUCGUUAGUAACCUGCCCAUCACCCUAGGAUAAGCCUGGGAAACUGGGUCUAAUACAGGAUAGGAGCGUCCACUGCAUGGUGUGCGUUGGAAAGAGUGAGCGGUUUUGGAUGGACAAGCGGCCUGUCAGCUUGUUGGUGAGGAGUUGGCUCACCAAGGGUACGACAGGUAGCCGGCCUGAAAGGGUGACGGGCCACGCUGGAACUGAGUAACGGCCGAAGCUCCUACGGGAGGUAGCAGAGGGGCAUAGUGCACAAUGGGCGCAAGCCUGAUGCAGCGACGCCGCGUGGGGGAUGAAGGCCGUCGGGUUGUAAACCUCUUGCAGUAGGGAAGAAGUGAAAGUGACGGUACCUGCAGAAGAAGCACCGGCUAACUACGUG
rnacentral:rRNA from 1 species